AGGAAAUAGAUACCCCGGUAGUCCACGCCCUAAACGAUGUCGACUGGUUGUUGGGGGUUUGACACUCUCAGUAAACGAAAGCUAAACGCGUGAAAGUCGACCGCCUGGGGAGUACGGCCGCAAGGUUAAAACUCAAAGGAAUUGACGGGGACCCGCACAAGCGGUGGAUUAUGUGGAUUAAUUCGAUGCAACGCGAAAAACCUUACCUACCCUUGACAUGUCCGGAAGGCUGCUGAAAGGCGGCUGUGCCCGAAAGGGAACUGGAACACAGGUGCUGCAUGGCUGUCGUCAGCUCGUGUCGUGAGAUGUUGGGUUAAGUCCCGCAACGAGCGCAACCCUUGUCAUUAGUUGCUACCCGCAAGGGAGCACUCUAAUGAGACUGCCGGUGACAAACCGGAGGAAGGUGGGGAUGACGUCAAGUCCUCAUGGCCCUUAUGGGUAGGGCUUCACACGUAAUACAAUGGCGCGUACAGAGGGUUGCCAAGGAGCGAUCUGGAGCCAAUCCCGUAAAGCGCGUCGUAGUCCGGAUUGCAGUCUGCAACUCG
rnacentral:rRNA from 1 species